GACGUAGGGCGCGAGCGUUGUCCGGAUUUAUUGGGCGUAAAGAGCUCGUAGGCGGCUUGUCGCGUCGUCCGUGAAAACCUGCAGCUCAACUGCAGGCUUGCGGUCGAUACGGGCAGGCUAGAGUACGGAAGAGGCGAGUGGAAUUCCUGGUGUAGCGGUGGAAUGCGCAGAUAUCAGGAGGAACACCAAUAGCGAAGGCAGCUCGCUGGGACGUUACUGACACUGAGGCGCGAAAGCGUGGGGAGCGAACAGG
rnacentral:rRNA from 1 species